AACGAACGCUGGCGGCAUGCCUAACACAUGCAAGUCGAACGAGAUCCUUCGGGGUCUAGUGUCGCACGGGUGCGUAACGCGUGGGAAUCUGCCCUUAGGUUCGGAAUAACAGUUAGAAAUGACUGCUAAUACCGGAUGAUGACGUUAAGUCCAAAGAUUUAUCGCCUGAGGAUGAGCCCGCGUAGGAUUCGCUAGUUGGUGUGGUAAAGGCGCACCAAGGCGACGAUCCUUAGCUGGUCUGAGAGGAUGAUCAGCCACACUGGGACUGAGACACGGCCCAGACUCCUAAGGGAGGCAGCAGUGGGGAAUAUUGGACAAUGGGCGCAAGCCGGAUCCAGCAAUGCCGCGUGAGUGAUGAAGGCCUUAGGGUUGUAAAGCUCUUUUACCCGAGAUGAUAAUGACAGUAUCGGGAGAAUAAGCCCCGGCUAACUCCGU
rnacentral:rRNA from 1 species